rnacentral:rRNA from 1 species
CGCGUAGGUAACCUGCCUGGUAGCGGGGGAUAACUAUUGGAAACGAUAGCUAAUACCGCAUAAGAACAUUUACUGCAUGGUAGAUGUUUAAAAGGUGCAAAUGCAUCACUACCAGAUGGACCUGCGUUGUAUUAGCUAGUAGGUGAGGUAACGGCUCACCUAAGCGACGAUACAUAGCCGACCUGAGAGGGUGAUCGGCCACACUGGGACUGAGACACGGCCCAG